GAUUUUAAAAAAAAUAAAAAGAAGAACAGGUGGCCUAAUCCAAUAGCAGUGCAAAAGAGAAGGACUGCCCAUGCAAAUCACUCAUUUUAGGCGCACAGACCCCUUCUCCUUUACCCAAACGGCGUUGUUUUAUAGUUCUAUAAGAACCAUGUUUAUUUUUUUUGUUUAAAACAUUUCACUUCACAAUUUUAAAAAAAAAAAACCUAAGAAAGGAAAUCCUCUCUUAAGAACCCCCAAUCCCCGGUGAAGCAAGUCCGGUCAACUUUGCCAUGGUUCCGCCUUAUACAGUGGCCGGAGACCUAUAAACCCACCUUUCUCACCGAUUUUUGGAGCCCAUCAUCUAUAAAGCAUAGAUCCAAGGCCAAAACUCCAAGAACAUGGCCAAAAUCGGCGGAGCAACCAAGAAACGCAUGUUUCUUCUCCUUUUCCGAUUUGACCCGAAUGGAGAAUGGCCAUCAACAUGGCCUCAUAACCACGUGGAGGCAAGCCGAACAGCGGUGGCACAGGCGAGGGUGGCGUGGAGCGCUAGUUAAGUUGAAGGAGGCUAGGGUUUGUUGGCUGAAAAGUUUGAUAGCUAGUGGGCUAGGGUUUAGCUUAGGCCUUGUAAAUUGGGUAGGAUAGGUUUGGGUAUGUUAUUGGGUUUUGAGUAUUUUUUAAUUUAGGCCAUUUUAAUGUAUAAAUUGGACUGUUGAAGCUUUGGACUUUUAUUAUUUGGUUGGCUUUACUAUUUUCAAAAUUAGACCAGGUCAAAAUUGACCUAUUACAAAAGUUAAAUAGUUUUUUUUGACAAAAA